UAAGCUCAAUCUCACAGGACCGGGGGUAGGGGAUGAUUGUUGGACUCUUGUUUUAAAAUGACUGAAUAAAGACUGUGCUUUCCACCAUCAUGUUAAAAAUAAUUCUAAAAUAGAAAAGAGACCAUGAAUGCAAACUCUGUCUGCCUUUGAUGAAACUAAGAAAUAUCUGAAACCACAAGGAUAGAUGUCAAGACAGUACAGAACACUUUAGUGUUGGAAAUGCUUGUGGAAUAGACAGCAUUCGCGUUCUCUUCAAUGCUGAGGUUAUAUGAUUCCUCUGCUCACAAUAAAGGAAAAUCAAAAGGACGUCUAGUUCUUAACUAGGGAAGAAGUUUCCUGCCAGGAAUGUAUAUAUUUUUGCCCAUGUAAGAGGCAUGUCAAAGCAGAAAGUGGGCAUAUUAUGUUAGAUUAUCCUGCCCAUUAUCUUUAUCCAGUUUCUACUAUUCUAUUGCAUUAUACCUAGUUUAAGAUCUUACUUUGGCUUCCCAUGUAGACUUUGUUGAAGGAUGAAAAAUGUUUUGAAUAGCUAGCUAGACUAUUCCAGUCACUUGGCCAUUAGAUUUCUUCGGGAAAUUAAUGAAUCCAGCAAUCAAAUUAAUCAGUGUUUUCUGAGUGCAGUUAUUGCAGAUCAGCCUAAUCUUGCUGGAAUGCAAGAUAAAUUUGUGUUUCUGGCCUGAAAAGUUGAAAGCCAAAGUGAAUGUUAAUGAUCCACUAAUGUACCUUCCGUCUGCUUAAAUAGCUGCUAAAUGCCACAUGUGCUGGAUGACAAGUUGGUAUUCUGUCAUUGUCUCCACUUCCUUUAUUUUACUUUUUUAAAGGCAAGGUCUCAUUCUGUCACCCAGGCUGGAGUAUAGUGCCAUGAUCAUAACUCACUGCAACCUUAAAAUCCUGGGCUCAAGCAAUCUUCCCACCUCAGCCUCCCAAGUAGCUAGGACUACAGGUGUGCCCCCAUGCCCAACUAAUUUUUUUUUAAACUUUUUUGUAGAGACAGGGUUUCACCAUGUUACCCAGGAUGGUCUUGAACUCCUGGCCUCAAGCUAUCCACUCACAUCAGCCUCCCAAAAGGCUAGGAUUACAGGCAUGAACCACUGCACCUGGCCAUUAAUGUUUAACAA
rnacentral:lncRNA from 1 species